UAAGAAGUCAUUUACAGACAAUUUGAUUUCGGCUCAAACUUCAAGGGUGAAGCCCCCUUCUUAU
rnacentral:tRNA from 1 species